rnacentral:lncRNA from 1 species
CGAGGGUUGGGGGGCCCAGUGAAGAAAGUUGAUGCCAACAGAGGCCAUAUGAAGUGUGGACUCCAUGCAUCCCCUGCAUAUAUCCAAAAGGAGGCCUUCUCUGUUUCCUGUCUGCUUCACCACUGGGCUGUGAGCCUUAAAGGUCUAGCCACCCAGUGGAGCUACCGAUCUCCAUGCUGGUACUUGGGAGUGUCUGCAAAGAGUCCUGUGAUGUGAUCUGUCUUCAGGUCUUGCAGCCAUGGAGACCGACCCCUGCUCCC